rnacentral:lncRNA from 1 species
UCACUUUUCACAAACCCUACAUACCAUUUCCUAAAUCUGCUUCUUCGUUUUUCAGAGAUUCAUCGUCCUUAGAUGAGAUUCAUAAGGACGACAAUGUUUUGAUGCUUUCUUCAUCUUCAUGGUUUGCUUGUGGUCUUUCGUAUCCGUCAAAACCCUAAUCGACUAGAGAAAUCAUCAAAAGUUCUUCACAAUAUGAUCGUUCCACAUAAUUUGCAGAUAUGCAUCCCUUACACAACAGUCCUUCAUUUUUAAAGCUUAUUGAUGAAGAUGACCCGAUAUUUUUGGUGAAGAGUUUCUUUCAGACUCCUUCCCCUACAAGGAACUAUUGAAUGGGUUCCUAUGAGAAGUUGAAGAAAAGUUAUGGAUAAUGAAAACAACGCUCCUUCGUUAUUAAAGUCGAUUGAGGACUAUGAUCCUAUAUUUUUCGAAUUGUUCGUCGACCAAAAACAGUUAUGGAUCAUGAAAACAACGCUCCUUCGUUGUUAAAGUUGAUUGGGGACUAUGAUCCUAUAUUUUUGGUGUUUAUUUUGGAUGGUCCGGAGUUUUUGGCUGCAACUAUGUUGGACAGAGAUAUGCUUGCUAUUGCUGUAAAUUGGUACCAUGUCGGUUGGUUUUGCUUGGUAAGAUUUGUGACGAUGCGUCGGACAAACAACAUUGAGAAAAUAUACAGCCUUGAGCCUUGAUGACCAAUGUAUAUCUCUAUUUGAGGAAUUCUCCAAAGAUCCAGAGCCGAUUGUUUCAUAGAGAUGUAAAGUUGCGUUAAACAUACUGGAUUUUGAACGAUCCGACAAACCAUUCGAGGUACUUGGAAGAUUAAGUCUCUUAUCUGGGUGGUUGUUACAGGUUUAGGAUGUUAAAUGAUUUUGGAUGUACUCUGCGAUGUCGAUGAUGCGGAGAUGUUGGUAAAGCUCAGGUUAACAACUUCAUGUGUAUAUUUUAAAUAAUAAAGUUUUUGUUGUUUAUAUUUUCUAAUUUAAACUUUUAAUUAACUUCUAAAUUUAAUUAAAUGAGUUUGUUUUGCAGGUUCGAACAACUUCAUGUGUAUUUUAUUAUAAAAAAUAAAAGUUUUUUUUUUUUGUUUCAUGGGUCGUUCAGAGAGGCAAGUUUCUGCCUCCGGUUCUUGCCCGAAGUUUCUAACCUUACUUGCAACCAAUGUUUUAAAAACCGGUUUUUAAGUCAUACCGGGUUGGACUCUAAAAUGGUUCAACCGGUUGAACCGGGUUGUAUCGGGCGGUUGAACCGGGUUAGUAGUUAACCCUAUAAAUAUCAUAAAAUACAAAUUCAUCUCAAAAAACAAUCAAAUCUCAACUUAGAUUUAUGUAACUUAUCAUAGUUUUAUCUAAAAAUAACUAUUUUUAUUGUAAACUAUUAAGCAUUUUAAGAAUAUCUUUAUUAGUUAUAAACAAUAUUGCAUUGUACGAGGUGAGUAACAGUUUCAACAACGAUGAAAUAUUGGAAUAGAAGACACUAGAUUAAUUACCGGAAAUAUGGAAGAACAAUAUUACCUUAACAUCGUAUUUUAUUAAAAUUAAGAAAUCAAAUCUUAAGAAAAUGCAAACCGGUUCAACGGUUUGAACCGGUAGAACCGGAUUUACCGCCGGUACAUAAGACAUACCAUAUUCGGGUUUUACCGGCCUUAUCGUACCGGACUCAUGCCCGAUAUCCGGUUUAACCGGUAUAACCGGCCGGUUUAUACCGGUAUUUAAAACAUUGCUUGCAACCCGUUGACUACAACUUUCAAUUCAAAACAAUUAUAAAAAAUUACGUUUGAAACAUUUAUUUUUAUUUUAUUUAAUGACAUAACUCGAUUAAUAUAAAGUAAAUUUUUCUACCCGCGAAGUUCGCGGGUGAUAACCUAGUUAUCUUAAUAUAUGAAAUGUAGCAACCGGGUCAACCCUGACUGAUCGAUCUCAUUCUAUCGGUGUUGGAACCAGCUUGUCGAACCCUAAAUAAAUAUAUUUAUGGUUUAACUUUUAGUGUAUAAAGUUUAACUUUAGUAUUUAGCUUUAGGAUUUAGCAUUUGAGUUUAGCUCAUAGUGUUUAUAGUUUAGAUUUUAGGAGCUUAGGGUUUAGGCUUACGGUUUAGAUUUAAUUAGGGUUUAAUUAAGGUAUAGCUUUAAGGGGUUAGGGUUUCUUGUUGGGUUCGAUAAGUCGGUUCUAACGUGCUAGUAAUUGGUGCAUUUUACAUACACGUUAAUAGAUAUUUAUUAUGGUAAAAAUGCAUUGCUAUUAAUAUAAAAGACAAUACAUUGAUUUCAUUUUGUAUUUUGUGGGCUACAAAGAAAACGAGCUAAAAUGAUCAAACUAAACAAAUGGUGAUAUAAAAAUGAGCUAAAAUGAUCAAACUAAACAAAUCGUGAUAUAAAAAUAUAUGUUAGCAAAAAUUAAUUAAAAUAAAUCAAAUGGUGGUGGUUUGUUAUGAAAGCUACAAGGAAACAAAAAUAUGGUUGUUUCACUUUUGUAGGCAUACCUACGAAUGAAAGUAAAUUAUGAGUCAAAGUGGUGAAAUUAAAUUAAUUGCAAAUUUGGUCUUAGAAAAUUGUUCAGAAGGAAAUAAUUGGAAAAGAGGCUUCAAAUUAAGAAUGUGGUAAGUAAUAAAGUUACGUGGGCUCGAAAAGUGGAUUAAUUAAUCUAAUGGGCUGGAAUUAAAUGAUGAUGCGGCCCAUAAGAAGAAUUACUAAAAAGGAACGCAGCAGGUUUUAGCAAGAGGAGAAAUUGAGAGUUUUGCUUUUGUGUUGGCAUAACGACUGUUAAGUGGUAGUCGGUGGUAUGGUUUUCUGGAGAAAUGCUCAAAAAAGCCAAAUUUGAAGCCAGCGUAGGCACGGUUUACACAACAUAGUCUGGCUAAAGUGGGUCAGUACAGGACUCCCCAAUUUGUAGAGUGUGGCAACCUUAUACAUGAAGUUAAUCGUUCAAAAAAAUAAAAUUGAAUAGCGUUGUUUUGAGGCCUUUGGCUGUUGGCACGCAAAUCAAGAAGGAUGAAAGACUUUGGAGUUAGUCGGUUUUGACGGGAUGAGCUUGAUGUUGGGAUGACAACUAUGCACGGCUAAUUCUCCUGUGACUUUCUUCUGGUGACGUUUAGUAGGGUUUAAUACUUUUCUCAAUUUUAUUUAGAUUUGGAUUUGUUUUUGACAUUGUUAACGUUGUAUAAACAAUUUGAUGUGUUGGUUUUUUAACUAUUUGCUUGU